rnacentral:lncRNA from 1 species
UUAAGAAAGGCAAGAGAGAGAAAAAAUUACACCUUAAUCACUUACGUUCUAAAUUCAAUACUAUAAACUUACAGAGUAAGUCAACUAUUUACACCACUUAUCAUCUAUAUUCUCAAGUGUUAGUAAAACAUCAUUAAAACUAAAUUACAAGUAUGUAUUAACAAUCCAACCAUAAUAUUACCAAGAACCAUUCACAACUAUAAACCUAAAACAAAUCCUAUCGAACCCAACAUUGACACUAGAGCGACCAGAUUCUAUCAAUCACCCAAGAGCUCAAUGAGAGACUAAUUCAUCAGGACCAGUUUAAACUACAUUACUAUAAACCUAAACAUAAAUAAUGAUAUGGUUCUGGAUAUCACCAACAGAAAGUGAAAGGUAAAAAAAAUAGUCCAUAACACCUACUCGCUUGAGCAGUGAUAGAAAAACACCAUAAGGUAAAGGUACUAGCAAGCCCACUAUACUCAUGGUACAGGGUAUGCUAAAAAGAUAAAGAUACUUGCAAGCCCACAUCUACUCGUGGUAGAGGGUAUGCACAAAAGGUAAAAGAUAAUAAAUGUCCUAACUGUAAUACCUAAACUGAACUAUUAACGUGGUCCAAUUCUUUACUCACGACAAGAACAGUGAAGGACAGAUUCUUAGGACACUAUACUCAAGAUAAAGGUAAGAGAUAUACUCAACCAAGGUAAAGGUAAAGAUAAACCCACUUUAGGUAAAGUAAAAAUCAACUCAAUUUAGGUAAGGAUAAAUUCUAUUAAGGUAAAGGUAGAGAUAAACUCGCAUCUACUAAUCCAAACCAGUGGUAGAGAUACAUGUAAACAAACUUCAGGUAAUAAUAUCUAUUAACACUCACAUCCUUGAAAAGAUAAGAAAAUAGGAGAUGACAACCAAGUUAAACAGAUUUACUUAUUGGUGAAUAUCAGAACGAUAUAAUUCUAAAUGACACAUUCCAAUUUCAACUUAGAAGACACUUAAGCAACAACUGAUAAGUAUUGGUAUAUUCCUGAGCCAAGUGAAGGGCACAAGUCCAGGGUGAUCAAUCCUGAACCCACGCUAAAACCCUGACGCAGUAAAGUGACUGUAAAAAUUUAUGGGCAUGGUCCGUACGCAACCAUACAAAACCAUAAAUCAAGAAAAUGUUUUGAAAAGUGUUUCCUAAUGGUCCCUGUAAAUACCUAUUUAACCAAGAAUUCAAGAUGGGGAAAAUUCCCAUUAUCCAUCCUGUACUCCUAUGAUAUGCAAUUUGAACUCUCUAAAAAAAAAAAGUACCAACAAGAAAAUGAACAAGUUCAUAUAUUAAGAUAUUAAGCAACAUUAA